rnacentral:rRNA from 1 species
UAGAGUUUGAUCCUGGCUCAGAUUGAACGCUGGCGGCAUGCUUUACACAUGCAAGUCGAACGGCAGCGCGGGGCAACCUGGCGGCGAGUGGCGAACGGGUGAGUAAUAUAUCGGAACGUACCCAAGAGUGGGGGAUAACGUAGCGAAAGUUACGCUAAUACCGCAUACGAUCUAAGGAUGAAAGCAGGGGAUCUUCGGACCUUGUGCUCCUGGAGCGGCCGAUAUCUGAUUAGCUAGUUGGUGAGGUAAAGGCUCACCAAGGCCACGAUCAGUAGCUGGUCUGAGAGGACGACCAGCCACACUGGAACUGAGACACGGUCCAGACUCCUACGGGACGCAGCA